rnacentral:rRNA from 1 species
UGGAGAGUUUGAUCCUGGCUCAGAUUGAACGCUGGCGGCAGGCCUAACACAUGCAAGUCGAACGGUAACAGGAAGCAGCUUGCUGCUUYGCUGACGAGUGGCGGACGGGUGAGUAAUGUCUGGGGAUCUGCCUGAUGGAGGGGGAUAACUACUGGAAACGGUAGCUAAUACCGCAUAACGUCGCAAGACCAAAGAGGGGGACCUUCGGGCCUCUUGCCAUCAGAUGAACCCAGAUGGGAUUAGCUAGUAGGUGGGGUAACGGCUCACCUAGGCGACGAUCCCUAGCUGGUCUGAGAGGAUGACCAGCCACACUGGAACUGAGACACGGUCCAGACUCCUACGGGAGGCAGCAGUGGGGAAUAUUGCACAAUGGGCGCAAGCCUGAUGCAGCCAUGCCGCGUGUAUGAAGAAGGCCUUCGGGUUGUAAAGUACUUUCAGCGAGGAGGAAGGCGGUAAGGUUAAUAACCUUAUCGAUUGACGUUACUCGCAGAAGAAGCACCGGCUAACUCCGUGCCAGCAGCCGCGGUA